rnacentral:rRNA from 1 species
UACGUAGGGAGCAAGCGUUGUCCGGAAUCAUUGGGCGUAAAGCGCGCGUAGGUGGCCAUUUAAGUCCGCUGUGAAAGUCAAAGGCUCAACCUUUGAAAGCCGGUGGAUACUGGAUGGCUAGAGUACGGAAGAGGCAAGUGGAAUUCCUGGUGUAGCGGUGGAAUGCGCAGAUAUCAGGAGGAACACCAAUAGCGAAGGCAGCUCGCUGGGACGUUACUGACACUGAGGCGCGAAAGCGUGGGGAGCGAACAGG